UUCCAUACACUCAGUCUGAAGCAAAGAUCCUAUAGCGGAGCAAGAUAGGCCACUCCUGCGAAAUGCAAUGGGCUGACGUGUAGUACGCUACGGAGGGGGUCCUGGGCAUUUCCCCCCGCCCAUUUUAGUAACCGGAACCUACGCGACCCGACUCGCAGUGUAAUCAACGUUGCGGGAGAACAGUUUGUGUGUGUGAUAUAAGGAUCUUUGAUCUAAAUAUACUGCAUCCAUCAUCAUCUAUGCUGCAAGAAAAAACGCUACCACAUAUGGCUGUGAUUUUUGGCCAUCUUACCCAAAGUCCCCCUCCGCUCAUCAGGUACCGAGGAUUUUUCCCAUCGAUGAAAAAUAAAAGUUAUUAGUGUUUUAGAAAUGUUGAGAUUCUCUCUCCUGUCAAUCAUGCCAUGAAGGCCACGCCCCUACUGGUGGAAGGGGGAGGGACUAUAAAACCCAGAAUUGUGGGCGUGGCUCAGUCUCCGCAAGAUGGAGGAGGGAGAGGUCAUGACUCGCUGUCUUUAGUUGCCUUGCACCCUGCUUGAAAUGGUAUGAAACUGCACUUGAAUUUGGUGGCCUUGCACCCUGCUUGAAGUGGUAAGAAACUGCACUUGAAUUUGGUGGCCUUGCAUGCUGCUUGAAAUGGAAUUUCAAGGAAUAGCUGUGUCAACUGCCAGCCGUGAGUGAGUGAGCUGCCAGCACAACAGGCUUGAGUGACUGAGCCACCAGCCCAAGAAUCUAUUCGGCCCACAAUGUCCAUACUAGCCCUCACCAAUAUUGGAAUUGGUGGAGAGGUGGAAUAUUGCGUUGGGGGACCAGCCCUCCCAUGUGAAGCUGGGACCCAACGGGUCCCACUUAGUCUAGUGUAUUUAUAAAAUGUUUUGGGAUUGUCCUUAAUGCUACCAGCCAGAGCUAUCGCCCGUCCCCUUUUUGCCGUUCUGAUCUCCUUUUUCAGUUUACUCCAUAGUUCCCAAAACUCCUCCAGGGGUGCACUUGAUCCCAGCUGCCUAUACCUGUCCCAUGCAUCCUUCUUGU